CCCUUAGAUGUUCUGGGCUGCACACGUGCUACACUGGCAGGUUCAGCGAGCUUCAUGCCCUGAUCUGAAAGGAAUGGGAAAUCUUUUCAAAACCUGCCGUGCUUGGGAUAGAUGUUUGCAAUUAUUCAUCUUCAACGAGGAUUGCCUUGUAAGCGCACGUCAUCAGCGUGCAUUGAAUACGCCCCUGUAUUCUGUACACACCGCCCGUCGCUCCUACCGAUUGAAGUUUUCGGUGAGUUGACAGGAGGAUUUUUUUGAAACUGGUUCGCCAGUGGAUUUUAGAUCCAAAUGCCAACGAAUCGAUGGCUUUAGAGGAAGGAGAAGUCGUAACA
rnacentral:rRNA from 1 species